ACACCAAUACUUUAACUCAAAAGGUAAAAGUUGGAAGAGGAAACGUUGAGCAAUAUUUGAUUAGCUUCGAUGUCCCUAUGCAAUUAUUAGCGGGACCUCUGCUUGCUGGGUAUGCCGCCUCCGCUAGCCGGGUCGAAGAAGUUGAGCACCACCUUCGCUGGGAAAAUGAGCAUGGAAGACGGGACGGAUUCAUGGCAACUUUGGCAUGUGUAUUGGAUAAGAACUGAAUGAAUGGACUGAUGGGAAAGAUUGAGGAUGACGUUUUGUUUCAAGUCUUUUCAAUUAUGUAUUUAUGUUUUUCCGCAUUUAGUAUUUGAACAAUUAAUUAAAGGUUUUUGUUUUCUUUAUGAUUUUAUGUAAUUAUAAUGGGAUCCCGUAUUUUGGAUUUUCUAAUAAAGUUCUAUUAUUUUAUGUAUGUAUUCGAAAAUAAUAGCUUUGUCUUAGUAGUUUUAAUGGUUCGAGGACUUUAAGCUAGUCGGGUCAUUACAGUUGGUAUCAGAGUCCACAGUUCAUAUGCA